rnacentral:rRNA from 1 species
UGAACGCUGGCGGCGUGCCUACUACAUGCAAGUCGAGCGAACGGACGAGAAGCUUGCUUCUCUGAUGUUAGCGGCGGACGGGUGAGGAACACGUGGAUAACCUACCUAUAAGAAUGGGAUAACUUCGGGAAACCGGAGCUAAUACCGGAUGAUAUUUUGAACCGCAUGGUUCAAAAGUGAAAGACGGUCUUGCUGUCACUUAUAGAUGGAUCCGCGCUGCAUUAGCUAGUUGGUAAGGUAACGGCUUACCAAGGCAACGAUGCAUAGCCGACCUGAGAGGGUGAUCGGCCACACUGGAACUGAGACACGGUCCAGACUCCUACGGGAGGCAGCAGUAGGGAAUCUUCCGCAAUGGGCGAAAGCCUGACGGAGCAACGCCGCGUGAGUGAUGAAGGUCUUCGGAUCGUAAAACUCUGUUAUUAGGGAAGAACAUAUGUGUAAGUAACUGUGCACAUCUUGACGGUACCUAAUCAGAAAGCCACGGCUAACUACGUG